AACAGACUUAUUUCCAGGCCCACCAUUAUCUAAUCCGCAGACAGUUCCUCGCGUGCCUCGAAUCAAUCGACCACGCCAAGACCUCCUCGCUGGCCCUGCGGCUCCCUCUGUCCAUAGCCGCAGCUCCCUUUGCCGGCGUCUGCCACAGUCCCCUCCGUCAUAUUCAUUCAAGGGCUGAUACUUGGUUGAGAGUUUUUGCUUCCUUCCUUCUGCUACAAAAAUUCGAAACAAAAAAAUAAAAAUAAAAAUAAAAAUACAAAGGCGGAUGGAAGAGACGAGCAGGAGCUUUGUCUGAGCCCUAGCUUGACUUGUGACCCCAUUCUCCACCAUCCUUGCCGUCGAACCAGCCUCUCAGCCUUCUUUACUGGACAUCUCCGUCUCCCAGGCUUUUUCUGUGUCAGUGUGUCAGGUCGAAGCCUCUUCUUUGCUCCAGAUCAGGAUAUUACAGAAGAUGGACAUAACUGAAUCCAUCCUCGACAUUCCAGUACAAGAUCCGCCAGAGGAGGAGUUCUCUUCCGCUGAUUUAAAUUGGACCAAGUUUGGGACGGCUGAGCACUUUGAGGAUGUGGCGCUCAUUCCUUAUGCACGAGUUGAUGCAUUUAUAAUUGGGGAAUGUUCUAAUGUUGAAUGUCCAACGCGGUUUCAUAUUGAGAGGACAAGGAAUCGAUCAACGGGCAGCUUACAGUAUUACAAGAGUGACGAAUACUUGCAGUAUAGGCUGUAUUGGUGUUCAUUUGGUCCUGAGAAUUAUGGGGAAGGUGGUGAUAUAUUACCAAGCAGAAGGUAUCGACUUAAGACUCGAAAUCGUGCUGCUAGACCACAAUCUAUGCGAGGCUGUACUUGUCAUUUUAUUGUGAAGCGCCUCUAUGCUCGUCCAUCGCUUGCACUUAUUAUAUAUAAUGAGAAUGAUAGGCGCCACAUAAACAAGGCAGGUUUUGUGUGCCAUGGACCACUUGAUAGAGAUGCCAUUGGCCCUGGUGCCAAGAAAAUUCCUUAUAUCUGUAAUGAGAUUCAGCAGCAAACUAUGUCUAUGAUCUACCUUGGCAUUCCUGAGGAGAAUGUUUUAGAGAAACACAUUGAGGGAAUCCAAAGAUACUGCAGUUCAAAUGCAAAAGUAAAUAGUCUUGCAUCUCAGUAUGUCCACAAACUUGGAAUGAUUAUUAAACGGUCUACUCAUGAGUUGGAUUUAGAUGACCAAGCUAGCAUCCGAAUGUGGGUUGAACGCACUAAGAAAUCCAUAUUCUUCUAUCAGGAUUCUUCAGAAACAGAGCCUUUUAUUUUGGGGAUUCAAACGGAGUGGCAGUUACAACAGAUGAUUCGUUUUGGUCAUCGCAGUCUCAUAGCCGCUGAUUCAACAUUUGGCAUAAAGAGACUUAAGUAUCCGUUGUGUACGCUUCUUGUGUUUGACUCAAGACAACACGCUCUUCCAAUUGCAUGGGUCAUUACUCGUAGCUUUGCUAAGCCAGAUGUGUCUAAGUGGAUGAAAGCUCUAGUGGAUAGAGCUCGAACUGUUGAACCUGGAUGGAAGGUCAAUGGGUUCCUGAUCGAUGAUGCAGCAGCAGAAAUUGACCCCAUAAGGGAUAUAUUUCGUUGUCCUGUCCUAUUUUCCCUUUGGCGUGUCCGUCGAUCGUGGCUGAGAAAUAUAAUUAAGAAAUGCUGCAACGUUGAAGUCCAAAGGGAGAUUUUCAAACGUCUUGGAAAAAUAGUAUAUGGAAUUUGGGGUGGGGUGGAUUCUUCAGUCGCUUUGGAAGAAUUUGCCCAGGAUUUUGUUGACCAGACUGCCUUCAUGCAUUAUUUUAAGGCUUGUUGGAUGCCAAAGAUUGAAAUGUGGCUUGGAACAAUGCGCACUCUUCCACUUGCAAGCCAGGAGGCAUCUGGUGCUAUAGAAACCUAUCACGUUAAGCUAAAACUUAAACUUUAUGAUGAUUCUCAUCUUGGUGCACUUCAGAGAGUUGAUUGGUUAGUGCACAAGCUGACUACCGAGUUGCAUUCUAGGUAUUGGUUAGACCGCUAUGCAGACGAGAGUGAUUCCUUCCAAAAUGUCAAGGAAGAAUAUGUUGCUUCUACUUCAUGGCACCGAGCAUUGCAAAUUCCUGAUAGUUCCGUUACUUUGGACAAUAAGGACCACCUCUUUGCGAAGGUUUUAAGCCAAAAGGACAGCAGCCGAAGACAUAUUGUGUGGAAUCCUGGAUCAGAAUUUGCUUUUUGUGAUUGUGAAUGGUCAAUGCAGGGAAACCUUUGCAAACAUGUCAUGAAGGUUAAUAUGAUGUGUGAAAAUUGUCAUGUAUGUCAGCCCUCUAUGUCAUUUCAGUCAUUCAGAGAUAUCUUGAUGAAUCUUUGGAGAAAGCCAAUGGAUGAUUCAAUUGCAUUGGAUCAGUCUGUUGCCUGGACCCAUCAGAUGCUUGAUCAGAUUCAGAAACUAGUUGAACUGAGCAGUUCAAAUGAUAUCGGAAGUGUAGUUAAGAAUCUGCCUCUAAAAUGGGGUUCCAAGAAAGGCAGAACUUUUGUUGGCAAGCCCUCAUCCACUGUGGCACUCCCAUCCAGUUCCAAGAGUAACAAUAAAAGCAAUGCCGUGCAAAGAAAAAAUCGGAAAAGGAAGAGAUUAUCACGGUUAAGAUGAUUUCAAGUUGGUGAAUGUGGGAUUGCUUUUUCAACCAUUCUGACCUAUGCAGUUAAAUUUCUGCUCACUUGUCAUUCCUUGGCUUUAUUCUUUAAACAUUGAUUAUCUGGUUCCAUUAGGGGGUAGAGAUUGAAUUCUUGCACAAACUUGAACCAUGUUUUCUCAUCCAAGGGUGAUUGUAUGUCACAGCAGCCAAAGAUGUAUUUUGAUGGGUAUUGUGUGCUUAGCUUGGUGCUAUUGGAGCUGCAAGAUGCCAUGAAAGGAAAUGAAGAUCUAAUAAGAAGUCUGCCAUUGUUGCCCUUUUGUCCUCGGGAUAAUUUUGAGGAAAAUGCAUGCCAAAGAAGAUAUGGUGAAGUUGCUUUGGAAACCUUAAACACAGUGAAGUCUUCAAGAUCAGGAGACACUGUGCCUGCUUGAACAGUGGGUAUUCUUGCCAGCAGUCUCUCUCUCUCCCAAACAGGUUUCACAGAUGGCUCACUUUUCCCGCUUGCAAGCUCAGCCAUGGCUCUGAAGAACUGGGCUGCGCCAAAACCAUCAACAACUGAGUGAUAUACACCCAUUCCAAUUGUGAAGCCCCCACAUGAAAAUUUAGUCACCUGCAGCAGUAGAGGGUGAUUUCCAUCAUCAUCACCCUCAGGAUGAGCAGGCAUAUUGAAGACGAACUUGUUGGCAAUUUCAACAUGGAUCCCAUCUAGAUACUGAAGCGAAGAGAGCUCACAGUUUGCUGUUGCGACCAGGAAAGGCACACCAUCAGCGGUGCAUGUGAGUUGAAGUCUUCCGUUGCUCUUUUGUCUCUUUAGCUUCCCAGCUAGGGGAUAGUAGUAGACUAAAACCCUAGAGAGUGCCUCUUUGAUCACACAAGCUGGAUCAGCUGCUUGCCAGUUAGCACUAUGGUUUGAAGUUGGAUGAUCAUGAUCAGUACCAUUGACACUUCCAUUUGAAGAUAUAUUGUUAUUUGCAGCUUUGUACACAUAAAUGGUUUGACAAAGGAUCUCAAGAUUGUGAUCAUUGUCAAUCGUGGAUAAAGAAAGAACAUCUGAAGGAGUUGGUUUUGAGGGUUUAACUAUUACAACAUCCUCUUUAUCAAUUGAGAAGGGUUCUAUCUGGAGACUGUUUGCCAUGGAAGAGGGUGAUGGUAAAUUGGAGUACAAGGUGAGAGCAAAUACUGCUUAAAAAUUAAUGCUAGAUUCAGUAGCCUUAUAGUACUACACAUGUCAUCUGUACCGUGGUUCUUAUCCUUUGGCUGUAAUGAUUGCUUCUGGGGUCCCGACGCACCAUAAGAUGAUCUCCGUUGGCAUGUUGGUGGGAUUUGAAUUUGGGAACACUAAUAUCACCACCCACUUAGUUUGCUGAACAGAAACCAACUUGGAGGACCAUGGAAGAAAUAGACCAAUGGGCUCUAACCAGAGCAAAUACUGCAUUCAUGAAAUCCUUAUGGUACCAGCACACUUCCCAGCGCAAAUUAACCAACGCUGCUUUCCAAAGUCUCGGCGUUUAGUCCCAUUGGCAAUCUCAUUUUCAACAAGUUGAAGCAAUGAAGGCCACAUGCUGAUGGGGGAAGGAAGUCUGGUCUGAAUUGUGGUGGAAGUCCAAGCUUUCUGAAGUUUUUUCUCUUGUGCUCAAUGGCUGAGUAAGUUAAAGGCAGACCAGAACUAGUGGGAAAGAAUGGAUAAGCUAAGAAAAAUUUCACGCAUCCACUAAAGUGAAAUCAGGAUAAAAAUAAUCAACUCAGUCAUGCUGAUAAAGACUUCCAGAGCCUGUGUGCGCUCUUCUCUCUCUCUCUCUCUCUCUCUCUCUCUCUCUCUCUCUCCAUAUAUAUAUAUAUAAAUAAUUCAAAGAUAGAGAAGAGAAAUUAGGGCAUGACUUUGCUAACGAAUGAUGUGUUGAUUAUCCAUCCGGUACGAAAGCAUCCAGUAAACAUGUGUUUUUUUUUGCAUAUAAAAUAAAUUUGUUAACGAACCUUGUGUAGGUUCAUAAUUGGUAGGAUUCA